UACGAAGGGGGCUAGCGUUGUUCGGAAUCACUGGGCGUAAAGCGCACGCAGGCGGAUUGAUAAGUCAGGGGUGAAAUCCCGGGGCUCAACCUCGGAAUUGCCUUUGAUACUGUCUGUCUUGAGUUCGGGAGAGGUUGGCGGAAUUCCUAGUGUAGAGGUGAAAUUCGUAGAUAUUAGGAAGAACACCAGUGGCGAAGGCGGCUAACUGGCCCGAUACUGACGCUCAGGUGCGAAAGCGUGGGGAGCGAACAGG
rnacentral:rRNA from 1 species